GCAGACACAUUCCAGCCAAUUAGCAGCAGACCCGCCCUCCCUCACCCUUCCACCUCCUGGACAGCAUCCAUUUUGAAGCUGCAUUCUUAGUGAGCUGUCCAGGAAGUGGGAGGGUCUGGGAGGGAGGGUCUGCUGCUGAUUGGCUGGAAUGUGUCUG
rnacentral:miRNA from 1 species